rnacentral:lncRNA from 1 species
CACACCUUCUCCUCCCAUAAACACACCUUCUCCUCCCAUAAACACACCUUCUCCUCCCAUAAACACACCUUCUCCCUCCCACAUAGGGCUGUUGUGGUGACUGUAUUACCGCCACACCAAAAGUCAUGAGUCAUGACCACAGUAAAAUUGAAUGGUAAAUCUCCUCUUAUGUACUCUGGACAUGUUAGACAUACCCAACUCGCUAAUGACCGUCAGGUCCUAAUGGCCUGGUACUCAGGGCUCUAUUGUUCCUCCAUCAGGUCCUAAUGGCCUGGUACUCAGGGCUCUAUGGUCCCUCCAUCAGGUCCUAAUGGUCUGGUACUCAGGGCUCUAUUGUUCCUCCAUCAGGUCCUAAUGGCCUGGUACUCAGGGCUCUAUGGUCCCUCCAUCAGGUCCUAAGGGCCUGGUACUCAGGGCUCUAUUGUUCCUCUAACCACCUUUGAAGUCAAUGCAAAUGCAAUUUAAAAUCGCAUAAAAAACUGAUCAUCAAAACAGUACCGUACUUUUAAAACUCACCUCAUCUGUGAUGAUGAAUUUGAAGAAAGAUGUUCGACAACAGGUUGAAACGGAGAGGAAAACAUGGUCCUUGUGGACGCAAAAGUACAAAUGGAUAGUUAGCUAGCUAACUUAUUGUAACGGUAACUAAAGUUGGGCUUGUAUAUGUGAUGGAUUGCAGACCAGGCAGUGUGCAGUAGACUGUAUAGUUUGCAGUACGGUUAGCCUAGCUAGCGAGCUAGCUACCGCUGUUAGCCACCUAGCAUGCUAACUCGUAGAGAACAAUGGGGCCACCAUUUAGGUGUUAGCCUAGGCUAACGGUUAGCCUAGCUGUUAGCCACCUAGCUCGUUGAGAACAAUGGGGCCACCAUUUAGGUGUUAGCCUAGGCUAACGGUUAGCCUAGCUGUUAGCCACCUAGCAUGCUAGCUUCGUUGAGAAACACUCAGAAGUAUAUUAGAGCUGAUUAUAGACCUACUAUAUACGAGGCCAAGACCGGAACAUCUGAAUUAAAAUAACGAUUGUUCCCUAAUACAAUACAUAGCCUAUUGCAUAUUAUGCACUUUAAUGAUUUAAGAUGUCUUUGGUACAUAAUUUGGUCUAUCCUAUUCUCCUACAUUAAAACACACACUAGUAACGGCCUUUGAAUGUGGACUGUAUUAUUAUGCAUACUGGGUGGACUGGUUAAAUGUAUAGGCUUAGGUCAUGUUGCUGCUUCAUUGAUUGUGCAAGGUGGCUUACAAUAAUUAUUACUUACUUAUAAUUAUUGUGAAUUUGUAAUUGAUUUUUAAUUAGCCUGGUAAAAAAAAGGGCUUUUUUUUUUAUACUUUCAUAAUUAAUCGGCUGACACAUUACCUUUAAUAACUGGAGAAUAUAUCUCACCACUGUGUUUUUCCCAUCUCCUCUCUUCUUCAUUCCUUUCUCAAGGAUGUAGAGAGAGAGAGGUGCUGUCACCAGCUUCAUCCACUAUGUUUCGUUGGUUGGAGGGCCCAUACAGAGUACUGGGUAGAUGUAGGAUCAGGGUUGGAGAGCCCAUACAGAGUACUGGGUAGCUGCAGGAACAAGGUUGGAGGGCCCAUACAGAGUACUGGGUAGCUGCAGGAACAAGGUUGGAGGGCCCAUACAGAGUACUGGGUAGCUGCAGGAACAAGGUUGGAGGGCCCAUACAGAGUACUGGGUAGCUGCAGGAACAAGGUUGGAGGGCCCAUACAGAGUACUGGGUAGCUGCAGGAACAAGGUAGGAGGGCCCAUACAGAGUACUGGGUAGAUGUAGGAUCAGGGUAGGAGAGCCCAUGGCAUACAGAGUACUGGGUAGAUGAACAGGGUAGGAGGGCCCAUGGCAUACAGAGUACUGGGUAGCUGCAGGAACAAGGUAGGAGAGCCCAUACAGAGUACUGGGUAGCUGCAGGGUAGGAGAGCCCAUGGCAUACAGAGUACUGGGUAGCUGCAGGAACAGGGUAGGAGUGCCCAUACAGAGUACUGGGUAGCUGCAGGAACAGGGUAGGAGAGCACAUGGCAUACAGAGUACUGGGUAGCUGCAGGAACAAGGUAGGAGAGCCCAUGACAUACAGAGUACUGGGUAGAUGAACAGGGUAGGAGGGCCCAUGGCAUACAGAGUACUGGGUAGCUGCAGGAACAAGGUAGGAGAGCCCAUACAGAGUACUGGGUAGCUGCAGGGUAGGAGAGCCCAUGGCAUACAGAGUACUGGGUAGCUGCAGGAACAGGGUAGUAGAGCACAUGGCAUACAGAGUACUGGGUAGGUGCAGGAACAGGGUAGGAGUGCCCAUACAGAGUACUGGGUAGCUGCAGGAACAAGGUAGGAGAGCCCAUGACAUACAGAGUACUGGGUAGAUACAGGAACAGGGUAGGAGAGCCCAUGGCAUACAGAGUACUGGGUAGCUGAAGGAACAGGGUAGGAGGGCCCAUGGCAUACAGAGUACUGGUUAGCUGCAGGAACAGGGUAGGAGAGCCCAUGGCAUACAGAGUACUGGGUAGCUGCAGGAACAAGGUUGGGAGAGCCCAUACAGAGUACUGGGUAGAUACAGUAACAGGGUAGGAGAGCCCAUACAGAGUACUGGGUAGCUGCAGGAACAGGGUAGGAGAGCCCAUACAGAGUACUGGGUAGCUACAGGAACAGGGUAGGAGUGCCCAUGGCAUACAGAGUACUGGGUAGCUGAAGGAACAAGGUAGGAGGGCCCAUGGCAUACAGAGUACUGGUUAGCUGCAGGAACAGGGUAGGAGAGCCCAUGGCAUACAGAGAACUGGGUAGCUGCAGGAACAAGGUUGGGAGAGCCCAUGGCAUACAGAGUACUGGGUAGGAACAGGGUUGGAGUGCCCAUGGCAUACAGAGCACUGGGUAGCUACAGGAACAGGGUAGGAGAGCCCAUACAGAGUACUGGGUGGAAUAUCACCUGUCGCGCAGCGAGAGGCUGGGUGCUCCUCAAACAGUGGUUGAUUUGUGGAGUGAAAUGUGUUCCCAGACAUUUCUAUAUGGAACCAAGCAGUGUUGAUGGGUGUCACUGAAAAGAGGAUCCCAGCUGCUACGCUGCCAGCUGCUACCCUGCCAGCUGAUACUCUGCCAGCUGCUACGCUGCCAGCUGCUACUCUGCCAGCUGCUACGCUGCCAGCUGCUACUCUGCCAGCUGCUACGCUGCCAGCUGCUACUCUGCCAGCUGCUACUCUGCCAGCUGCUACCCUGCCUGCUGCUACUCUGCCAGCUUCUACCCUGUCAGCUGCUACCCUGCCAGCUGCUACUCUGCCAUCUGCUACCCUGCCAGCUGCUACUCUGCCAGCUUCUACCCUGCCAGCUGCUACUCUGCCAUCUGCUACCCUGCCAGCUGCUACUCUGCCAUCUGCUACCCUGCCAGCUGCUACUCUGCCAUCUCCUACCCUGCCUUCUUCUACCCUGCCAUCCACUACCCUGCCAGCUGCUACCCUGCCAUCUUCUACCCUGCCUCUACCCUGCAAGCUGCUACCCUGCUGUUAAACCAGAGUAGCCUAACCGGCAUGAUUAAAGAGGGAAGAGCAGCCUCCAGUACGUACGGAGGAUAAGGUUAAAUUGAGACUAGGCUGCACACGUUCUCUCAUCAUGUGAUCAUAUUUUCACCCAUCACACGGAGACGAGGAUCCGACUUCCUCAAAUCAUAAUCACAGACUCACUCUGUUCCCGCCUAGAAAAUAUUACUCUCUAUAUCUCUCUCUCUCUCACUGUCUCUCUCUGUAUCUCUCUCACUGUCUCUCUCACUGUCUCUCUCUCUCUCACACUCACUCUGUUCCCGCCUAGAAAAUAUUACUCUCUAUAUCUGUCUCUCUCUCACUGUCUCUCUCUGUAUCUCUCUCACUGUCUCUCUCACUGUCUCUCUCUCUCUCACACUCACUCUGUUCCCGCCUAGAAAAUAUUACUCUCUAUAUCUGUCUCUCUCUCUCUGUCUCUCUCUCUGUAUCUCUCUCUAUAUAUCUCAGACACACAGACUCACUCUGUUCCCGCCUAGAAAACAUUACUCUCUAUAUCUCUCUCUCUCACUGUCUCUCUCACUGUAUCUCUCUCUCUCACACUCACUCUGUUCCCGCCUAGAAAAUAUUACUCUCUAUAUCUCUCUCUCUCUCACUGUCUCUCUCUGUAUCUCUCUCACUGUCUCUCUCACUGUCUCUCUCUCUCUCACACUCACUCUGUUCCCGCCUAGAAAAUAUUACUCUCUAUAUCUGUCUCUCUCUCACUGUCUCUCUCUGUAUCUCUCUCACUGUCUCUCUCACUGUCUCUCUCUCUCUCACACUCACUCUGUUCCCGCCUAGAAAAUAUUACUCUCUAUAUCUGUCUCUCUCUCACUGUCUCUCUCUCACUGUCUCUCUCACUGUCUCUCUCUCUCUCUCUCUGUCGCUCACACUUACACUGUUCCUGCCUAGAAAAUAUUACUCUCUCUAUAUCUGUCUCUCUCUCUAUAUCUGUCUCUCUCUCUCUCUCUGUCUCUCUCUCUGUCUCUCACACUCACUCUGUUCCUGCCUAGAAAAUAUUACUCUCUAUAUCUCUCUCUCUCUCUCACUGUCUCUCUCUCUCUGUAUCUCUCUCACUGUCUCUCUCUCUGUCUCUCACACUCAGUCUGUUCCCGCCUAGAAAAUAUUACUCUCUAUAUCUCUCUCUCUCUCUCACUGUCUCUCUCUCUCUCUCUGUAUCUCUCUCACUGUCUCUCUCUCUGUCUCUCACACUCUCUGUUCCCGCCUAGAAAAUAUUACUCUCUAUAUCUCUCUCUCUCUCUCACUGUCUCUCUCUCUCUCUCUGUAUCUCUCUCACUGUCUCUCUCUCUGUCUCUCACACUCACACUGUUCCUGCCUAGAAAAUAUUACUCUCUAUAUAUCUCUCUCUCUCUCUCUCUCUCUCACUGUCUCUCUCACUGUCUCUCUCACUGUCUCUCUCUCUGUAUCUCUCUCUAUAUAUCUCAGACACACAGACUCACAUUGUUCCCGCCUAGAAAACAUUACUCUCUAUAUCUGUCUCUCUCUCACUGUCUCUCUCACUGUCUCUCUCACUGUCUCUCACACUCACACUGUUCCCGCCUAGAAAAUAUUACUCUCUAUAUCUGUCUCUCUCUCACUGUCUCUCUCUCUGUAUCUCUCUCUAUAUAUCUCAGACACACACAGACUCACAUUGUUCCCGCCUAGAAAACAUUACUCUCUCUCUCGGAAGACACACACUGUUAGGGUAAUGAUGAUGUUGAUGUGAGUUAGGGUAAUGUUAGGGUAAUGUUAGGGUAAUGGUUGAUGUGAGUUAGGGUAAUGUUAGGGCAAUGAUGAUGUGAGUUAGGGUAAUGGUUGAUGUGAGUUAGGGUAAUGUUAGGGCAAUGAUAAUGUGAGUUAGGGUAAUGGUGGUAGAAGUCGUAGAGGGGGGAGUAUUGAGAGAUGGUUUAGAGAGGGUAAUGUUAGGGUAAUGGAUGCUGGGUGUUGUGUAGGUCGUUGCUCGGGUCGUUUUUUUGAUCCUCAGGGUUUGGCAAAGGUCAAAGGUUUGCUGCCGCAACAAAGCCAAAGGCAUCAUGGGAAAAUAUCUGACUUGCACUGAAACAGGAAAAAAUGUUGAGGAGAAAAACGUUAUCGUGAACAUUUAUAGUCUCUGAUCAGUUUAAUAUAAACAAAAAGGAACACUUUUCACUUCAUACAAGUUUGUAGCCUAUCGGUCUUUGUUUGAGAGACUGUGUUUGAACUGAACCAGCGUUAUUGAUCACCGGGAGACUGUGUUUGAACUGAACCAGAGUUAUUGAUCACCGGGAGACUGAACCAGCGUUAUUGAUAACCGGGAGACUGUGUUUGAACUGAACCAGAGUUAUUGAUCACCAGGAGACUGAACCAGCGUUAUUGAUCACCGGGAGACUGAACCAGAGUUAUUGAUCACCGGGAGACUGUGUUUGAACUGAACCAGAGUUAUUGAUCACCGGGAGACUGAACCAGCGUUAUUGAUAACCGGGAGACUGUGUUUGAACUGAACCAGAGUUAUUGAUCACCAGGAGACUGUGUUUGAACUGAACCAGAGUUAUUGAUCACCGGGAGACUGAACCAGCGUUAUUGAUAACCGGGAGACUGUGUUUGAACUGAACCAGAGUUAUUGAUCACCGGGAGACUGAACCAGAGUUAUUGAUCACCGGGAGACUGAACCAGAGUUAUUGAUCACCGGGAGACUGUGUUUGAACUGAACCAGCGUUAUUGAUCACCAGGAGACUGUGUUUGAACUGAACCAGAGUUAUUGAUCACCGGGAGACUGUGUUUGAACUGAACCAGAGUUAUUGAUCACCGGGAGACUGUGUUUGAACUGAACCAGAGUUAUUGAUCACCAGGAGACUGAACCAGAGUUAUUGAUCACCGGGAGACUGUGUUUGAACUGAACCAGAGUUAUUGAUCACCGGGAGACUGUGUUUGAACUGAACCAGAGUUAUUGAUCACCGGGAGACUGUGUUUGAACUGAACCAGAGUUAUUGAUCACCAGGAGACUGUGUUUGAACUGAACCAGAGUUAUUGAUCACCAGGAGACUGAACCAGAGUUAUUGAUCACCGGGAGACUGUGUUUGAACUGAACCAGCGUUAUUGAUCACCGGGAGACUGUGUUUGAACUGAACCAGCGUUAUUGAUCACCGGGAGACUGAAGGAGUCACUGUGAGUGCAAUAAGCCCUGUCCACAACACACACAACUUAACUAGUCCACAUUCCCCAACUAACUUAACUAGUCAAUAGUCAAGAGGAAGGGGCUGGGGUCUAACCAGAGGAUUUUCUUUGGAAUAAAUUUGUCUACGUUAAAAGUUGUGUGUGUGUGUGAGCUGUCAUUGUGAAUAGUGUUAUCAGGGACGUCAUUCUGAAAGGACAAUCUCAGAGAUACCUUACGAGGUCAACAAUCAAUAAGUUUUUUUUUUUCUGACUGAAUUCAACCAUGAUAUUAUUCCGAUAUUAGUUAUUUAAAUCCUCCGCAUCCAGUCUGUUGUAGAAAAAAGGACAAAGCAUUCAUCUCCACAGCGGCGUACUUACACGGUGUGGCCACCAAUCAGGAAGGGUGGCGCCCCCCAAAAAAAGGAUCAAUCACGGUGAUUUAUUAAAUCGUUUUCUGUGACUCUGCUGUUUUUUAAUGUGAUGAUUGAUUACUGAAGUCAUGAGUUUAGUAACUGAAAUGGAAAUACGUGAUUACAUUUAUUAUUUUUUUUGGGGGGGGGGGGGUCCAACUAUCGAUAUCCUACAUAUCCAUCGAUCAUCAAUAAUAUCCAUUUAGUUAGUGCAUGACUAAUUUAUUGGAUUAUAAAUAUAUUAUUUCUUUGAGUAAUAAAACACCUGGGGG